GAUGAACGCUGGCGGCGUGCCUAAUACAUGCAAGUCGAGCGAACAGACGAGGAGCUUGCUCCUCUGACGUUAUCGGCGGACGGGUGAGUAACACGUGGAUAACCUACCUAUAAGACUGGGAUAACUUCGGGAAACCGGAGCUAAUACCGGAUAAUAUAUUGACCCGCAUUGUUCAAUAGUUAAAGACGGUUUUGCUGUCACUUAAAGAUGGAUCCGCCCCGCAUUAGUUAGUUGGUAAGGUAACGGCUUACCAAGGCAAGGACGCGUAGCCGCCCUGAGAGGGUGAUCGGCCACCCUGGAACUGAGACACGGUCCAGACUCCUACGGGAGGCAGCAGUAGGGAAUCUUACGCAAGGCGCGAGAGCGUGACGGAGCAACGCCGCGUAAGUGCUGAAGGUCUUCGGAUCGUAGAGCUCUGUUAGUAGGAAAGUACAAAUGUGUAAGUAACUGGGAACAUAUUGACGGUACCUAAUCAGAAAGCUACGGCUAACUACGUG
rnacentral:rRNA from 1 species